UUUCCGUAGGUGAACCUGCGGAAGGAUCAUUACAAUGAAGCGAUAUCGUCUCGAUGUCGACUCUCAAACCACUGUUUACCAAACUUCGUUGCUUCGGGGGACGCCGGCACAUACGGGUCGGCGUGGGCUCGGUGCCGCCCCCCGAGGACAUCACAAAACCACUUUUGUCAGAGGAUCGUCUGAUUAUCUAUUCAAAAAGAAUACAACUUUCAACAAUGGAUCUCUUGGCUCCGGCAUCGAUGAAGAACGCAGC
rnacentral:misc_RNA from 1 species